GGAGGGUGCAAGCGUUAUCCGGAUUCACUGGGUUUAAAGGGUGCGUAGGCGGGUUGGUAAGUCCGUGGUGAAAUCCCCAAGCUUAACUUGGGAACUGCCGUGGAUACUAUCAAUCUUGAAUAUCGUGGAGGUAAGCGGAAUAUGUCAUGUAGCGGUGAAAUGCUUAGAUAUGACAUAGAACACCAAUUGCGUAGGCAGCUUACUACACGAUCAUUGACGCUGAGGCACGAAAGCGUGGGGAGCAAACGGGAUUAGAUACCCUGGUAGUCCACGCCCUAAACGAUGGAUACUCGACAUCAGCGAUACACUGUUGGUGUCUGAGCGAAAGCAUUAAGUAUCCCACCUGGGAAGUACGAUCGCAAGAUUG
rnacentral:rRNA from 1 species